AUCUAAUAAAUAUUGGAAUUGCGGAAACGUGAAUCUGAAUAUUUUCUUACAUCAGUUGUCGUAAUACUUUUGUCAAACGAGGGAUGUCCCUCGGGUGAUAUCGAAUAUAUUACGUUCACACAAUAUCCAAAUCGAAGUUGAAUAAAUAUAAAUGUGAAAUAAAUAUACAAUCUUUCCAGAAAUAUUAGUCCAUACGAGUACCAGUUGUUCAUUAAUUAUUGAUCGACAGAGCAUUUCUCAUCAGAUUUGGGAUUCGAUAUCGAAUAAGACAACAAGUUGGAGUAAUUUCGUGGCCCUGCAGGUUGAUGGAAGCUAUACGAAAGUUGAACUUGGAACGUCAAUGAACAAUUUUCUUGAAAUAGCCAUAGAAAUACCAAUUCCAAGAAUUCAUACCGAAUUGUACCAAAGGAAUCGAAAUACCAAUAAAUAAUUUACCUCAAA